rnacentral:rRNA from 1 species
ACACAUGCAAGUCGAACGAGAAUCUACUGAAAGAGUUUUCGGACAAUGGAUGUAGAGGAAAGUGGCGGACGGGUGAGUAACGCGUGAGGAACCUGCCUUGAAGAGGGGGACAACAGUUGGAAACGACUGCUAAUACCGCAUGACGCAUAGAGGUCGCAUGAUCUUUAUGCCAAAGAUUUAUCGCUUCAAGAUGGCCUCGCGUCUGAUUAGCUAGUUGGCGGGGUAACGGCCCACCAAGGCGACGAUCAGUAGCCGGACUGAGAGGUUGAACGGCCACAUUGGGACUGAGAUACGGCCCAGACUCCUACGGGAGGCAGCAGUGGGGAAUAUUGGGCAAUGGGCGCAAGCCUGACCCAGCAACGCCGCGUGAAGGAAGAAGGCUUUCGGGUUGUAAACUUCUUUUAAGAGGGAAGAGCAGAAGACGGUACCUCUAGAAUAAGCCACGGCUAACUACGUGCCAGCAGCCGCGGUAAUACGUAGGUGGCAAGCGUUGUCCGGAUUUACUGGGUGUAAAGGGCGUGCAGCCGGGUCUGCAAGUCAGAUGUGAAAUCCAUGGGCUCAACCCAUGAACUGCAUUUGAAACUGUAGAUCUUGAGUGUCGGAGGGGCAAUCGGAAUUCCUAGUGUAGCGGUGAAAUGCGUAGAUAUUAGGAGGAACACCAGUGGCGAAGGCGGAUUGCUGGACGAUAACUGACGGUGAGGCGCGAAAGUGUGGGGAGCAAACAGGAUUAGAUACCCUGGUAGUCCACACUGUAAACGAUGAAUACUAGGUGUGCGGGGACUGACCCCUUGCGUGCCGCAGUAAACACAAUAAGUAUUCCACCUGGGGAGUACGAUCGCAAGGUUGAAACUCAAAGGAAUUGACGGGGGCCCGCACAAGCGGUGGAUUAUGUGGUUUAAUUCGAAGCAACGCGAA